UACGAAGGGGGCUAGCGUUGCUCGGAAUGACUGGGCGUAAAGGGCGCGUAGGCGGAUGGCUUUGUCGGGCGUGAAAUUCCAGGGCUUAACCUUGGGGCUGCGUUCGAGACGGGUUGUCUUGAGUGGGGAAGAGGGUCGUGGAAUUCCCAGUGUAGAGGUGAAAUUCGUAGAUAUUGGGAAGAACACCGGUGGCGAAGGCGGCGACCUGGUCCUUUACUGACGCUGAGACACGAAAGCGUGGGUAGCAAACAGG
rnacentral:rRNA from 1 species